AUCCCUAAAUACAAAACCCAUUGACCCCAUAAUAUCUAUUACAAUCCCUACAAUCCCUUUACUUACAUUGCUUUACCGAAGUUAAAUAUCAAUAUCUGGAGAAGCGAAUCUCAAACAUUUUGGAAUCGUUUGAUAUGAAGAUCUUAGAAGACUGAAAUCUAUAUUCAGUUGUUCAGAUUGAAGAUAAGAUUACAUGAAAAUGGUUUGUAUUGCAACUAAAGGAUGAUCUUGGCAUUAACACUCGAGAAGGAUAGACAUUUAUAAUAGACAUGCAAAAGGGAUCAGUACCUGCCAUUCAUGAAGUGCUGCCUAAUAUUGAGCACAAAAUGUGUGCCAAACACAUUUGGUCAAAUUGGACUGAAAAAUGGAGAGGUGCGAAAAGGAGAAAGAAAUUUUGGAGUGUGUUUGGGCAACUUUUAAGAUUAAAGUAAAGGAGAAUUUGAAGGAAUUGAAUAAGCUUGGAAUAGGUAUUGUAGAAGACUUCUUAAGCUAUAAUCAUAAUACAUUUUGUAGGGCUUUUCUAAAAUUAGAAAUUUACUCAAAUAUAGAAAAAAGAUAAUAUAUCAGAGACAUUUAAUAAAUGGAUAUUGAAUGCUAAAUUCAAGUCCAUGCUAGAGGAGAUUAGGCAAUAGGUCAUGAAUAGGAUCAGGAUGAUGAGGGAGUUUGCAGACAGUUAGAUAUAUGAUAUUUCACCUUCAGCCAUGAAAAAAUUGGAAAAAAAAAUAAGCAUAGGGCAAUGGAUUGUAUUAUUCGUUGGAAUGGGGAACAUGAAUUUGAAGUAAUAGAGAGAGAGUACAAACACACUAUUGAUCUAAGGAUAAAGACUUGCACUUGUGGAGCUUGGCAGCUUAGUAAAAUUCUUUGUGCUCAUGUCAUAUGUGCACUUAGCCAUCAGAAAUUUCAAUAAGAUGAUUAUAUUAGCUUCUUGUAUAAAAAGGAGACCUUUUUAAAGUCAUAUGAUAUAUGAUGCAACUUGUAA